AGCUUCUUUUAUUUAUUUUUUCCAAUAAUCGCUGGGACCCACGAUCAUCUUCUAGCUCGGGAUAGAGUCCAACCCGCGUACGAGUUUGUUACGGACGCGAGAAGUGCCAACUACUUCGCCCGAUUUCUCUCGGAUUUUUGCCCCUUUUUCCACGAAACUCCGCCUAUAAAUACCUCAUAAUCUCCUCCGUUUUUGCCCCCUAAAAUCCCUAAUUUUUGCGCCGCCAGGCUGCACGAAUUUCUCGCCGGAGUUCGACGCCGCCGCCGUCAUUGGAGCUCAGAACCGGAGGGCACUAGGACGCGAAGAAAUCAUCGCCGGAGUUCAUCGCUGCUCGAGCCGCUUCAAGUUCAGCCGUCCGUCAUCGCUGUUCCGGGAAGACCCAAACACCUCCGAGCACACCACCCUGACAGCCACGCCCAGCCGCGCCUCGUUCGCCAACUCGCCGCCCGCCGAAACACCGUCGCCCGUACGAACUCUCGCCGCUGCCGACGUGAUUGCCCGGAUUGCAACGAGUGUGAUUGCGACGACUGUUUGAACACCGACCAAGG